UUACUCUGGUUUCCCUUCAAAACGUACAAAUCUUUCGCCUUUUACUAAAGAUUUCCGUGGAGGGGAACACUCAAAUGAGUCUAUAAUAUUUUUGAUCAACCCUGCUUCGGCGGGGCA
rnacentral:snRNA from 1 species